GCCCAGCACACAUGCCGGACGAGCACGGCCCCUUCCAGAGGUCACAGGCCCAGCACACAUGCCGGACGAGCACGGCCCCUUCCAGAGGUCACAGGCCCAGCACACACGCCGGAUGAGCGCGGCCACAGAGGCCCAGUAAGACCACCACACAUGGGGUCACGGCUGGAUCUCCCUCCCCAGGUGGCUUCAGGCUUCCAGGAAUAAGGCAGCACUGAUGCCUGCCCCCGCUCCCGGGGCCCCGGGGCUACCAGUGGUGUGGGAGGCCAUGGGUGCCCCAGGCAAGGGCCAGGACUCCCUGAGGCAGCACUGGGCGCUGCAGUCACCCCUGGGGGCAGAGACUGAGAAGACGGCUGGGGACGUGGGGGAAGCCAGGAGAUCCCUAGCCCAGAGGUCACACAGGGUCAUGGUGGGGUCAGGUGGGGUCAAGGUUGAACACGAGUGGCAGGUGCCCAGGUGAGAGCUGGCAGAGCAGCGUCUGUGGAGCCAGGGCUGCGGGGACUCGGAAGCAGGGGAGGGCAGGCCUGUGCACAGAGCCCUUGGCAUAACCAACUCCAUCUUAGAAAAAGACUCCAUUUUGUCUCACAGGGCACUCUACCGAGAAGGAAAAGAUGUUCUGUUUAAGAACCAAAAAGCAAAAAAA